rnacentral:rRNA from 1 species
AGCGAACGCUGGCGGCAGGCCUAACACAUGCAAGUCGAACGAACCUUUCGGGGUUUGUGGCGGACGGGUGAGUACCACCUGGGAACGUGCCUUUAGGUUCCGAAUAACUCAGUGAAAGUUGUGCUCAUACCGCAUGUGCUCUUCGGGGGAAAGAUUUAUCGCUUUUUGACCGGCGCUCGUCUGGUUCGCUGGUUGGUUGAGGUCAUGGCUCACCACGGCGACGUUCUGUAGCUGGUGUGCGAGGAUGAUCAGCCACAUCUGGACUGAGACACGGCCCAACCUGGGACGGGGGGGAGCAGGGUAGUAUCUUGCGCACGGGGCCAAGGCCUGACGCAGCCGUGCCGCGUAAAUGAUGAAUGGGUUAGUAUUGUAAAAUUCUUUCUCAGGAGACGAUAAUGACGGUACUCGGAGAAGAAGCCCCGGCUAACUUCGUG